GGCCGGUUAGCUCAGUUGGACUAGAGCGUGGUGCUAAUAACGCCAAGGUCACGGGUUCGACCCCCGUACGGGCCA